rnacentral:sRNA from 1 species
AUGUGCCCGCGGACACUGUGGUUCUUCCGCGCCGUUUGCACACACCUGACGAUUACUCGCCCCGUUGUGUUCGCU